rnacentral:rRNA from 1 species
GACGAACGCUGGCGGCGUGCUUAACACAUGCAAGUCGAACGGAAAGGCCCUGCUUUUGUGGGGUGCUCGAGUGGCGAACGGGUGAGUAACACGUGAGUAACCUGCCCUUGACUUUGGGAUAACUUCAGGAAACUGGGGCUAAUACCGGAUAGGAGCUCCUGCUGCAUGGUGGGGGUUGGAGAGUUUCGGCGGUUGGGGAUGGACUCGCGGCUUAUCAGCUUGUUGGUGGGGUAGUGGCUUACCAAGGCUUUGACGGGUAGCCGGCCUGAGAGGGUGACCGGCCACAUUGGGACUGAGAUACGGCCCAGACCCCUACGGGAGGCAGCAGUGGGGAAUAUUGCACAAUGGGCGGAAGCCUGAUGCAGCAACGCCGCGUGCGGGAUGACGGCCUUCGGGUUGUAAACCGCUUCCGCCUGUGACGAAGCGUGAGUGACGGUAAUGGGUAAAGAAGCACCGGCUAACUACGUG